rnacentral:lncRNA from 1 species
CUGCAGCGGACGGGGAGGAGGGUCAGACCACAGGCCCCCUGGGACCCCUUCCAACGAAGCCGUCCAGAUGCUGCGUCUGUGGGUAAUAAGAGGCCGAGAGGGAGAAAUCUCCACCCUGCCAAGGGCACUCAAGCCCAGCACAGAUGCUCUCCAGCUCCCCCAGCUGCGACAUGGGGAUGAGGCCUCCUAGCCACGGGCCGGGCGGGUGGGACGGAGGCGGCGGGGCCUGGCCGCGUCCACACUAAGCUGGCAGGGAAACGAGGCAUGGCGAAUCUUGCCAGCCUGGUGGUAUCACUCGGCCCAUUUGUGGACUCCAUCAGGCGCGCCUUCCAGGAAUGCCCCCCUGUGCCCUUCUCUGUGUGUGCGGAGCCGGCUGCGGGCAUGGGGGUGCCCAGCGGCAGGCUGAGCUAUCUGGCCACCUACCCCCCAGGUGGUGCACCUGUGCCCAGGGAGGCUGACGAGCGUCUGCUCUGUGCUGGAGACUGUCCCAGGCCCGUGGGUGAGUGAGGCCCAGCUGGCCCCUGGCCUCCUGGAGGCCAAAAUCCGGCCCAGCACACGGGGAAGCACACCUAGUGCAGGUCGGGCCGCAAAGACAGAAAGGGCCUGGGGAGCACGACAUCAGGUGGCAGUCACGGAGGGCCCGGGAAGGAAGCGACUAGACUGGGUGCAGAGACCCGGGGUGGACAUGGGGCAGUGAGGUCAGGGAGGCCAAGAGAGCCAGAUCACAUGGAGUUAACACGUGACCAUUUACAAAGCGAUUUCCCCAUGCAUGUCCUCACGGUGAGACCCGGGGGAGGACCAUGAUUUAUCUCCAUUUUACAGAUAGGGAAAGUUGAGGCUCUGGGAGAUACAGGACCCUGCACAAAUCUCAGCGCUGGGACCAACCCCCCGCCUCCAGGACCGGGUCACUCCCUCCACCGGGGCCGCUGGGAGAAGGACCAGCCCUGCCAAGCCAGGGCCCGGAGAAGGUGGGGCUGAUGAGGGAGCGGGGCUAGCUGAGGACAAAGCACAGCUGAGGUCCCGCAAACGACGACAAUGCCACCCAGGGUGGGAUGUGUGUGACAUUCUUCCGGAAGCUUCCAUUUGUUUUAAUGUUAAUGCCUCGCUGGAGGGAAAUGCAAUCUUUAACUUGACAAUGGCAAGGCCUCCAGUGUCUGGUAGGUUCUCUAAGCAGAUGAAAAUCCUUUGGAAUCUCCCUUUGGCUUACUUGCCCCAACUCCUGGGUAUAUAACCUGCCGCCUCACAGGCCCGGGGGCAGCCGCUCUUCCUGCCCCUGGGUCCCAUCCCCCCUCCCUUCCAGCUUUAAUAAAAU